GACGAACGCUGGCGGCGUGCUUAACACAUGCAAGUCGAACGGAAAGGCCCUGCUUUUGUGGGGUGCUCGAGUGGCGAACGGGUGAGUAACACGUGAGUAACCUGCCCUUGACUUUGGGAUAACUUCAGGAAACUGGGGCUAAUACCGGAUAGGAGCUCCUGCUGCAUGGUGGGGGUUGGAAAGUUUCGGCGGUUGGGGAUGGACUCGCGGCUUAUCAGCUUGUUGGUGGGGUAGUGGCUUACCAAGGCUUUGACGGGUAGCCGGCCUGAGAGGGUGACCGGCCACAUUGGGACUGAGAUACGGCACAGACUCCUACGGGAGGCAGCGGUGGAGAGUAUUGCACAGUGGGCGGAAGCCUGAUGCGACGACGCCGCGUGCGGGAUGACGGCCUUCGGGUUGUAAACCGCUUUCGCCUGUGACGAGGCGUGAGUGACGGUAAUGGGUAAAGAAGCACCGGCUAACUACGUG
rnacentral:rRNA from 1 species